rnacentral:rRNA from 1 species
UACGUAGGGGGCAAGCGUUGUCCGGAUUUAUUGGGCGUAAAGAGCGUGUAGGCGGCCUGACAAGUCUGCUGUGAAAACUCGAGGCUCAACCUCGAGAUGUCGGCGGAAACUGUCUGGCUAGAGUCCGGAAGAGGAGAGUGGAAUUCCUGGUGUGGCGGUGAAAUGCGCAGAUAUCAGGAGGAACACCGAUGGCGAAGGCAGCUCGCUGGGACGGUACUGACGCUGAGGCGCGAAAGCGUGGGGAGCGAACAGG